rnacentral:tRNA from 7 species
GCUGUAGCUCAGUUGGUAGAGCCCUGGAUUGUGAUUCCAGUUGUCGUGGGUUCGAGCCCCAUCAG